GCACACGGGCCGCGGCAGCCGCGCCGGGCGGGACUGAGGCGGACGGGACGGGACGGCUGCAGCGUCCCUGCGACCGCCACGGAGCGCGGCAGGCGCCCGCUGAUGACGCACAAACCCGGCAGCCGGAGCGGGGCGGGUUUUUCCCCAGUGCGCAGACGCGGCACGGACGCGGCCGAGCGGGGACCGGAGCCAGAACGGGACCGGGGCAGCGCCGGUGUCGGUCACGGGCACAGGGGGCGUUCCCCAGACCGGGCCUGCGCCGAGAGAAGCGCCGGGGAGGUGCGCUCGGGGCGGGGGCAUCCGCACUCCCGUGAGGGCACCGGCAGAGACCGAGCGCGGUCUGGGUGCAGAGGGUGCCCGAGGGACCGGCCCUGCUCCGGUCCCAUGGCAGCGGGCACGCAGCCGGCCCCGGCAGCCAGCACACAGUUUCAGCCUCCAUCAAAAUCUCAAGCUGGAGAUUUUUCGCGGGUGCAGCGCAUGUUGUGUGAGGCACACCGAAUUCCUCAACAGCCCGGUCCCACAGAAGUGACGGAAACAGCAUUUACCAGAUGAUCAGGCUUCAGAUUGAAAAGAUGGACAUGUAAAAAAGCUGUCCAAAAUCAGAGUAAAGUGAGAAAGCACCCAGGUUUUUGCCCAAGAUACAGAAAAAGGGGAAACCAGUGCAAAUCAGUGGUAUUUCAAAUACGAGGUGGAUGGAAAUCUUCUAUUGUGCAAAAUGCCUCUUAGGGAGGGAAACCACUGUAGAAAGAUAGAAUUAUUAGCAAUGAUUCAAUUACAUGAAAUGUCUCUGAAGACAGAGCAUUUGAGAAAUAUCAAUCAGAUCCUAUCUGUGGGGUCACCAGCUGAUUCUCCAAUGAUUCACAGUUUUGUUGGUAUUGAGUUUGUAACCUUUGUUAUUUUUGGAUUUUAUAGGUGAUACUGAUAAAUAAGGAUUGUUAUUAAUGCUAUAUGAAUACUUUAAAAAAGUUGUCAUAACCCCUUCAAAUACUUCCUGUUGAUAAGUUGAUUAUAUAGUGAGAAUUUUCAGAAUUUAUUAUAAGAAUUAUGAUCAAGAUAUUGUUGUAAUAUUUACAGCCAGCUUUCAUGUGUUUCACUGUGUCUUUGCGUGAUCAUCUACAAGACACGUGUCUCUUCAGAAUCUUGUCUUUUUGUUUUUUAACUACUCAUGUUUUUUAGGUUUCCUUUAAAUCCAGAUUGCCAGUUUUGUGGUUUUCUUCAUUUAUUAUUUCUUCAGUUAUUAUAGAGUACUUCAGCCGAGAAUUCAAGAGGUUUGCUGUGUUUGAAGAAUUUCUGUCCUGACAGAAGUUUUGGAGGGAUUCAAUUAUUUAAUGGCAGCGUCGAUUCCUGCGGACACGAGAGAGCUGUGGCUGGAAAACUUAAUGGAGGGGAAAGAAACAGGGAAGAAGAAGGGCUCUGGUGAAGAUCACACUGCCCUCCUGAGGCUCCUGGGGGAGAAGGCAAAGUUGCACCAAGACCCCAUGCUGUUCUCUGAUGACAUUUUUUUCAUUGAGCCAAUGGAGGGAGAAAUUGGGCCAAAUUGUUUGGCCAAAUUCAAGGUGACCUUCAGACCUUCGGAAGCACUGGAGAAUGGAAGUGUGGCUUACUGAAGCAUCUCAGGUGAAACUGAUUAACCUAGGAGAUAUUGAUGCUCCCUUCACCUAUAGACCUUCAACUGCCAACGUGGGCUUCUGCUUCAAGUUUGCGCCCGAGGAAGACAUCGGUACACCAGGUGGGACCCAGACUGCUCAGAUCUCCUUCAGUGCCACCAUAGUGUGGAGGUUUGAGGAAGAAUUCCAGUUCAGUGUGGCUGGAUCUCCUAUGUCUGCAAUCCUGACUAUCAAGAUGGACAAAUAAGGAGUAAAUAAAAACCCACGGAAUGUGACAUAGAUGAAGACUUCCAGGAGCCCAGUUGCGAAGUGCGGAUGUUCAGGGACAUCACACCAUGACCAAUAUGAUCAAGUGAAGGCAAAUUUAUUAUCCCUAAAAAGACUAGAUUUAUAAUAAGUUUCUACUGCCCACGCUUCUCUAGCUAAUACAUGAUUGGUUAAUCCUAGCUCUUUACACAUCUAAAUUAAAUGCUGAUUGGAUCAUCUAAUUUUUCGUGCAUCUUGCUGUGGUUGUCUGGCCCACCCAUUGCUUUCUCUUUUUUCUCACUCUCCCAAGCUUGCUGACAAACUUGCUGAGUCCUGAUGACUCUUCUUCUUGUAUCUUUCUCAAGGAUAUACUGACCCCAUUUCUGAAUAUGUCCAUUAUCCAUUGUUUGUGAAUGUGUUCAUUGUCCAUUAGUACAAGCAGGCUGGAUUGUGCAUCGGCUGAAUAUGGCCAUUGUCUAGCAAGAACUCCUCAACCUACAAAAAAUCCUCAACACCCCAGAGCCUGACCACGCCCCACAGCCCACCUCAGAAAUUAACCACCCAGAUUGGGUGGGGGGUCUGAUGAAGGAGAUGUGUGAGAUGGGCCAGAUGCUGAAGGAAUACACUUCCCCAGCUGGUGAGGAAACCUCCCCCUGCCUCAAAGAGGGAGAGUCUGAUGGUGCAGCAGCGGAACCCACAGAUGUUACAACUGUCCAAGUUCCAGCUGAACUGCAGAGGCAGUCACAGCCAGCAGCAGUUGCCCUGUGGAAACGAGGAGGUCUAAGAUGAAAUCAGAGCACCCAGACAAGGAUAAGAAGAGAGGGCCCUCACAACUCACAGGGGAGCCAAUGGUUGAGAUCAUCACUGAGUCCCUGAUGUACAAAAGUCUCUGUAAUCUGCACACAGACAUUGUACGGACAGGGACGUGAGGCUUAUACAACCUGGUUACUAUGGGUCUGGGAUCUUAUGGGUACAGGUGUCCAGCUGGAUGGUGGUGAGGCAAGGAAUUUGGAACGCUUGACCCAGGACUCAGGUAUCAAUCAGAUUUUUGUAAGGGAGCAAGGGCUUUUAAUAAGUGUCAGAUAGAGGUUUGUUCAUAGGGAGAGAAUGCAGGAGCAGCACCAUAGAAUGUGCUGGAAGACUCUUGAGGAUGGGAUCCAACAGCUGAGAGAAGUGACAGUAUUGGAGGUACUCUUUGGGAGGGAUGGACAGCAUGAUAAUGAGCCCAACAAGGUCGGGUGCACAGGGCAAAUGUUGUGGAGCCUGGCAAAUCUGGGGCCAUCUCAAUACACCACCUUUACUGCAACAAUUAAUGCCGAUACCGGCUGAGAGACAGUGGGUCAUGGGGAGAUGUUCAAAGGGGAGACAGUGACAAGUCAGGGCAGACUUUGCUGAGCUCUGUCCAAGCCCUUUCUCCCAGCCCUGCCCCUGUUGCUCUGUGCCCCCCAGUUUUCCUUUUCUCAGAGCUCUUCCUUCAGCCCCGUGCCUGGAAUUUUGCUGGGAUCUGGCCCCAUUGCUGUGAUGAGCAGGGGCUCUGCCCAUGGACACCAAGGGGUCAGCUCUGCUCUGAAGCAGUGGGGUCAUGGAAUGGGGACAGGGGCAAGUCCUGGGGUUAGAUUCCAUCAGCUCAAACAGCUCCUGAGGCUGAGGAGCUCAGCAGCAUCUCCUGUCCCAGGACUAAGGGAGGGUGAUGGCCAAAGGCAGUUUGAGAGGGUUUCCUGCUUCACCCAGGGAGAGCAGAGACAGCUGUGCAAGGCAAGAGCAGUGGCUGGAACUCAGUGAAGGGCUAGGGGAGCUGCUCUGUCACUCCGUCUGUCCCCAGCUACCCUUUUCUGCAAUCCAGGGCAGUCCCUGUGUUCCCCUGGAAAUCAGCCUGACACAACUGAGAGCAGAGGGACCCACAGCAAAGCAAACUGGUUUAGCCUUUCUCAGAGUCCCAGCCCCACUCUGGCCAAGGACACUCCUGUCCCCCAGUGUCCCCUGGAGGCAGCUGACAGCUUGGAUGGCAUCCUGAGGACACACCAAGGGUCCUGUCCAUGGCAGUGCUUGAGGAGAGUGGGCUCAUUGCCAGGGUCCCAGGCUGCCCUGCCCAGAGCUCCCCGGGCACAGGGAGCUGGGACACCCCAUUGCUGUGCUCAGCCUGCAUAGGAGGAGUCCAAGGGCUGGGCCUGGCCCUGCAGCUGGAACUGCCAUUGCAGAGAGUCCCUCAGCAAUGCCAGCAGCACCUGGGCAAGGCAAGGAGAGAGAGAGAGAGAGUUGGGCCUGAGGAAAAGCCUUUCCCUGGCCAGCCCUGCCCAGCCCCUGCCAGGCAUCAGCAGGGCAGGACAGUGGCCCUCAGGCCCUGGUCAGCAGGGAAUGGGCACAUGGCCGCAGAGAUGCCCUUCAUCUCUGGGGCUGCUCUGCUGGCCCAGGAGGGACUGAGGGCCCUGAGCCCCCGGGCUGAGGGCUGUGCUGGCUGCGAGGGGACACAAGAGCUGUGCUGCUCAGGGUAGUGUCUGCCCUGCAGGACAGGCCCAGCAGGUGCCACAUCUGCCCUGCAGCAGGGCUGCCCUCAGCACUGCCUCCCUCCCUCCCUCCCUCCCUGCCCAUGGCUCUGCUGCUGGAGCUGCCCCAGCCCCAGCUGCUCCUGUGGUCCCGGGCUCCUUCCCUGCUAGAGCUGCCAAAGCCCAGCCCAGCCCCUGGGCCAGCCCUGCCCUGCAGCUGCUCGGCCCUGCAGGGAUUAAAGAACAGCUCCCCCAGCCUGCGCACCAGGGAAAGGUGAUGCUGCAUGGAUCUGGAGGCUGGGCAGGUGUAGGCUCUUGCUGAGGUUCCCAGGAAAACUCAGUGUGAUGGCUGAAGAACCUCAGCCCCUGCUCUGGCCUGCACAUCUGAGUUUCCAUUGCCACCAAGCUGAGCAGGGAAAAGUGGGAGCACAGAUUCAGGAAAGCAGAGACCCAAGCAGGAAACCCCUGCCCUGAAUGACCCCAUGAAAAGUCCCCUCAGGAAUGAGCUGGGCAUGAGCUGGAGCUCUGAGCAGU